rnacentral:rRNA from 1 species
CCUACGGGAGGCAGCAGUGAGGAAUAUUGGUCAAUGGGCGGAAGCCUGAACCAGCCAAGCCGCGUGAGGGAUGAAGGUACAGAGUAUCGUAAACCUCUUUUGUCAGGGAACAAAGGCGGGGACGCGUCCCCGGAUGAGUGUACCUGAAGAAAAAGCAUCGGCUAACUCCGUGCCAGCAGCCGCGGUAAUACGGAGGAUGCGAGCGUUAUCCGGAUUUAUUGGGUUUAAAGGGUGCGCAGGCGGUCUGUUAAGUCAGCGGUCAAAGCCCGGGGCUCAACCCCGGCCCGCCGUUGAAACUGGCAGUCUCGAGUUGGAGAGAAGUAUGCGGAAUGCGUGGUGUAGCGGUGAAAUGCAUAGAUAUAACGCAGAACUCCGAUUGCGAAGGCAGCAUACCGGCGCUCAACUGACGCUGAGGCACGAAAGCGUGGGGAUCGAACAGGAUUAGAUACCCGUGUAGUC